rnacentral:rRNA from 1 species
GACGAACGCUGGCGGCGUGCUUAACACAUGCAAGUCGAACGGAAAGGCCCUGCUUUUGUGGGGUGCUCGAGUGGCGAACGGGUGAGUAACACGUGAGUAACCUGCCCUUGACUUUGGGAUAACUUCAGGAAACUGGGGCUAAUACCGGAUAGGAGCUCCUGCUGCAUGGUGGGGGUUGGAAAGUUUCGGCGGUUGGGGAUGGACUCGCGGCUUAUCAGCUUGUUGGUGGGGUAGUGGCUUACCAAGGCUUUGACGGGUAGCCGGCCUGAGAGGGUGACCGGCCACAUUGGGACUGAGAUACGGCACAGACUCCUACGGGAGGCAGCAGUGGGGAAUCUUGCACAGUGGGCGGAAGCCUGAUGCAGCAACGCCGCGUUCGGGAUGACGGCCUUCGGGUUGUAAACCGCUUUCGCCUGUGACGAAGCGUUAGUGACGGUAAUGGGUAAAGAAGCACCGGCUAACUACGUG